GUGGAGGCGGAGGAGAUGGCGGCGCCGGUGGCAGUAGACCCCGUGUUGUUGUGCCAACCAUCCCUGAAGGAAAUGGCGGCGACGGUGACGGUGACGAUGACAAAUGAUAACUGAACAAGAUUAAAAUUCAAGCCUUCACUGCCUUUAUUCUGAGAAUUAAGCAAUUCAUGUACACGAAGUUCAAUUUUAUAUAACUUGAAUCGUAGUGGUAGACUUACAAAGUACUGUAAAACAGCAAUAAAAGUUACACCAACAUGAUC